rnacentral:rRNA from 1 species
GCUGGCGGCAGGCCUAACACAUGCAAGUCGAGCGGUAACAGAGAGAAGCUUGCUUCUUUGCUGACGAGCGGCGGACGGGUGAGUAACGCGUAGGAAUCUACCGAUUAGUGGGGGAUAGCCCAGGGAAACUUGGAUUAAUACCGCAUACGCCCUACGGGGGAAAGCGGGGGAUCUUCGGACCUCGCGCUAAUCGAUGAGCCUGCGUAAGAUUAGCUUGUUGGUGAGGUAAGAGCUCACCAAGGCGACGAUCUUUAGCUGGUCUGAGAGGAUGAUCAGCCACACUGGGACUGAGACACGGCCCAGACUCCUACGGGAGGCAGCAGUGGGGAAUAUUGGACAAUGGGGGCAACCCUGAUCCAGCCAUGCCGCGUGUGUGAAGAAGGCCUUCGGGUUGUAAAGCACUUUCAGAUGUGAGGAAAGGUGUGUGCUUAAUACGUACAUACUGUGACGUUAGCAUCAGAAGAAGGACCGGCUAACUCCGUGCCAGCA